CAAGCGUUGUCCGGAUUCAUUGGGCGUAAAGAGCGUGUAGGCGGCCAGGUAGGUCGGUUGUGAAAACUGGAGGCUCAACCUUCAGAGGUCGACCGAAACCAUCUGGCUAGAGUCCGGGAGAGGAGAGUGGAAUUCCUGGUGUAGCGGUGAAAUGCGCAGAUAUCAGGAAGAACACCCGUGGCGAAAGCGGCUCUCUGGAACGGUACUGACGCUGAGACGCGAAAGCGUGGGGAGCGAACAGG
rnacentral:rRNA from 1 species